rnacentral:tRNA from 1 species
UCCCUGGCAGUCCAGUGGUUAAGGCUCUGUGCUUCCACUGCAGGGGGUGCAGGUUUGAUCCCUGCCUGGGGAA